AACGAACGCUGGCGGCAGGCCUAACACAUGCAAGUCGAACGCGUGGCUUCGGCCACGAGUGGCGCACGGGUGAGUAGCACGUGGGAACCUACCCUUCGGUGCGGAAUAACGCCGGGAAACUGGCGCUAAUACCGCAUACGCCCUUUGGGGGGAAGAUUUAUCGCCGAGGGAUGGGCCCGCGCCCGAUUAGCUAGUUGGUGAGGUAACGGCUCACCAAGGCUGCGAUCGGUACCUGGUCUGAGAGGAUGAUCAGGCACACUGGGACUGAGACACGGCCCAGACUCCUACGGGAGGCAGCAGUGGGGAAUAUUGGACAAUGGGGGCAACCCUGAUCCAGCCAUGCCGCGUGGGUGAUGAGGGCCUUAGGGUUGUAAAGCCCUUUCACUGGCGAAGAUGAUGACGGUAGCCAGAGAAGAAGCCCCGGCUAACUCCGUG
rnacentral:rRNA from 1 species